GUGGCCGUAGCUCAACCGGUUAGAGCGCUUGGCUGUGGCCCAGGAGGUUGGGGGUUCGAGCCCCCUCGGCCACC
rnacentral:tRNA from 1 species